rnacentral:rRNA from 1 species
AGCUUGCUCUCGGGUGACGAGCGGCGGACGGGUGAGUAAUGUCUGGGAAACUGCCUGAUGGAGGGGGAUAACUACUGGAAACGGUAGCUAAUACCGCAUAACGUCGCAAGACCAAAGUGGGGGACCUUCGGGCCUCAUGCCAUCAGAUGUGCCCAGAUGGGAUUAGCUAGUAGGUGGGGUAAUGGCUCACCUAGGCGACGAUCCCUAGCUGGUCUGAGAGGAUGACCAGCCACACUGGAACUGAGACACGGUCCAGACUCCUACGGGAGGCAGCAGUGGGGAAUAUUGCACAAUGGGCGCAAGCCUGAUGCAGCCAUGCCGCGUGUAUGAAGAAGGCCUUCGGGUUGUAAAGUACUUUCAGCGAGGAGGAAGGCGUUAAGGUUAAUAACCUUAGCGAUUGACGUUACUCGCAGAAGAAGCACCGGCUAACUCCGUGCCAGCAGCCGCGGUAAUACGGAGGGUGCAAGCGUUAAUCGGAAUUACUGGGCGUAAAGCGCACGCAGGCGGUUUGUUAAGUCAGAUGUGAAAUCCCCGGGCUCAACCUGGGAACUGCAUUUGAAACUGGCAAGCUUGAGUCUUGUAGAGGGGGGUAGAAUUCCAGGUGUAGCGGUGAAAUGCGUAGAGAUCUGGAGGAAUACCGGUGGCGAAGGCGGCCCCCUGGACAAAGACUGACGCUCAGGUGCGAAAGCGU